rnacentral:rRNA from 1 species
AGAGUUUGAUCCUGGCUCAGAACGAACGCUGGCGGCGCGUCUUAACCAUGCAAGUCGAGCGGCAGGCAGCAAUGCCGAGAGCGGCGGACUGGUGAGUAACACGUGGAUAACGUACCCCGCUGACCGGGACAGCCUGUAGAAAUAGAGGGUGAUACCGGAUAGAUCACUGUUUACGGAAGGUAGACAGCGGGAAAGGAGCUUCGGCUCCGCGACGGGAUCGGUCUGCGGCCCAUCAGCUAGACGGCGGGGUAACGGCCCGCCGUGGCGAGGACGGGUAUCCGGCCUGAGAGGGCGGACGGACACAUUGGGACUGAGAUACGGCCCAGACUCCUACGGGAGGCAGCAGGUAAGAAUAUUCCGCAAUGGGGGAAACCCUGACGGAGCGACGCCGCGUGAACGAAGAAGGCCGGAAGGUUGUAAAGUUCUUUUCUGUUCGAGGAAUAAGUGUAGGAGGAAAUGCCUGCAUGGUGACGGUAGGGCAGGAAUAAGCACCGGCUAAUUACGUGCCAGCAGCCGCGGUAACACGUAAGGUGCGAGCGUUGUUCGGAAUUAUUGGGCGUAAAGGGCAUGCAGGCGGGUCGCCAAGCUUGGUAAGAAAUACCGGGGCUCAACUCCGGAGCUAUAUUGAGAACUGGCGAGCUGGAGUUGCCGAAGGGUAUCCGGAAUUCCGCGUGAAGGGGUGAAAUCUGUAGAUAUGCGGAAGAACACCGAUGGCGAAGGCAGGAUACCGGCGGACGACUGACGCUGAGGUGCGAAGGUGCGGGGAGCAAACAGGAUUAGAUACCCUGGUAGUCCGCACAGUCAACGAUGUACACUGGGCGUGUGCGCAAGAGCGUGCGUGCCGAAGCAAACGCGAUAAGUGUACCGCCUGGGGAGUAUGCCCGCAAGGGUGAAACUCAAAGGAAUUGACGGGGGCCCGCACAAGCGGUGGAGCAUGU